GAUGAACGCUGGCGGCGUGCCUAAUACAUGCAAGUCGAGCGAAUGGAUUGAGAGCUUGCUCUUAUGAAGUUAGCGGCGGACGGAUGAGUAACACGUGGGUAACCUGCCCAUAAGACUGGGAUAACUCCGGGAAACCGGGGCUAAUACCGGAUAACAUUUUGAACCGCAUGGUUCGAGAUUGAAGGGCGGCUUCGGCUGUCACUUAUGGAUGGACCCGCGUCGCAUUAGCUAGUUGGUGAGGUAACGGCUCACCAAGGCAACGAUGCGUAGCCGACCUGAGAGGGUGAUCGGCCACACUGGGACUGAGACACGGCCCAGACUCCUACGGGAGGCAGCAGUAGGGAAUCUUCCGCAAUGGACGAAAGUCUGACGGAGCAACGCCGCGUGAGUGAUGAAGGCUUUCGGGUCGUAAAACUCUGUUGUUAGGGAAGAACAAGUGCUAGUUGAAUAAGCUGGCACCUUGACGGUACCUAACCAGAAAGCCACGGCUAACUACGUGCCAGCCGCCGCCGUAA
rnacentral:rRNA from 1 species